CUUUUCCCUGUUGCUUUCUCUGACAGAUUUGUAGGUGGAUGGAUGGCAAAACCAACUGCAGCAUGCUACCUUUAUAAUGCAAAAGGGCCAAGGGCCAUUUGAAAGGUGGCUAAGGUCACAACAUGUAACGUGUUGCUCAGCAACACCUUGGAGCCAAGGAGUCUCUCAUGCUGUGACUCAGCUCCUCCCAGAUUGAAUUGACCACAACUGCUUAAAGUUCUUGUUUUGCUUUCAGUGCUGAUGCUGGAGAAAAAAAAAAAAAUCAACUCACAUAUGUUCAGCUCCUUCUAUUGCACAUACAGGGGAAUUGGGAAUAUUUGUGCAGUAGAGUCAUCAUUUUUCUCCAAACAACAAAAGAAUAUUUAUUCAGCCUUUGGGCAUAAUAUAAUCUAAAGAGGGGCAAGUGAGAUUUCAAAAGUCUGAGAGCAUUAAAUGCUGCACCAGAACCGAGGAAGAAGCUGUUUGUCAUCAGUCUCUGCAGGAUGCUGCCAUUAUGUCUAGUAACAUUGGCAUAUUUAUCACACUUGGUAAAUUCCUCCUGUCACCACUGGAUGCUGUUCACCUUCAUUUUAAUAUGUUCUUUCCGCUUUGCUCUAAAUAAACAAAACAGCAAUUUUGUGAUGUCUGCUUUUCGUGUUAAGACACAAAUGCCCCAACUACCCCUCUGUAGAUAUGGCUGGGAUACCAUUUCCAAAAAUACCACUGUUUAUCACAAGGAUUACCACUUUCCAGUAAGCAUUUUUUCAAAGUUGAGGCAGGCAGUUUGAUCUAAUUGGCAUUACUGAUCUAAAAUAUUUAGUGAAAUAGCAAAUCAAAAGGUUCUUUAUUAGAUGGUCUGGAUUUACUUGUUUUCCAAUGUAAUCAUUAACUGGGGAGGUAAGAUUUACAGAGAAGUCUUGAAACUAAUGGAAACAACAUCUACUGUGGAUGGGCUAAACAGUUAGGACUCUCUGAUGAGUUGCCUGAGUUCCCUCUACCUUCUUCCUAUGUGUAUUCUGUUAAGUGGUCCUUAUAGUUGAGACAUACCAGUUUAUUUUAGACCACGUAGAUCAGACCUAAUGUUACCGUGUUCAGUGAAGAUUCAGCUGAUAAACAUUUGCUUGUGAUUUCAUUCCCCUCAUAAAUGUAUUCUCUUGGGGAGGAUCUCCUACAAUUUAUUGAGGAAAAAAUAAUGGGAUAUCUGUACCUGAUGAAGGGGUGAGGGAACAAUUUGUGAUAUUUGCUGCAGGGAGCCCAUCUGCUCUCAAGUUUGGGUUCCUCAGUGAGCUGCAGCAUGAAAAACAGCUUUGCUGCUCAAGGUUUUCUUCGUAGCUGAGGUUCACACACUAGCUCAAGUAGAUAGUGCCUGAAGGGAUGUAUACAAUAUCUCUCUGAGUCCUACCAGCACAACUACGCUGGCACACCUUUGAUUUGGUCUUGCUUUUGGCUUCUGAUUCUUGGUGUCAAUCUUCCAAGCCUUGGAUACUCUUUUCAAGUCCUGGUCACUUGUUACAAGCAUCUUAUAGUAGAUAGUUGUAGUAACUUACACACAAAACUGACAUCGGAAACACAUUUCUUAUGAAUAUGCUUGGGGAAAAAAAGACACAACAACAAUGGUUUUUAGACUUCUGCUUAAAAUAGAGACUAGAUUUUCUCUGAAAUUCAAAAAAAAAAAGACGGAUUAAGGUCUCUUCUUUCACACUUGUCCUGCCACUUAGUACAUAUCCUCAUUAUCCUCAUGUGCCCUUACAUUUUCUGGUGUUGAUCAAAAGCAGAAGUACAAUACUGAUCCAUUGAAAUAAACAUUUCUCUGAAACCGUUUUCCCCAUCUUAAUACAAAUAAGGAAGUACCAGAAAUUUCAUUUGAAAGCCGACAGUUGCAAAAUUUCUAACAAUUUUGCAGACAAAGGAGAUUAAAAUACAGAAGUUACAGAUGAAGAGCUAUUGUUUGGGUGCUUAUUCAAGCAUGGGGCUUGUCAACAUAUCAAAUCCUAGAUAGUGUAUUGUAAUGCUUAGGGUUUUGGAUGUUCAACUUAGCCCCAACAAGAUUUUCCAAAGUGACAAUUCAAAUUGCUGAUUGUUUUUAACAAUCUUUGGGUGGUUAUCUCUCAUCUUCAUAAUAUAUGAAUAUAUGGAAUAAUUGCUAGUCAUUCAAGUGUGAUAACUGUGAAAACAAUGAUUCAGAAUCACCAAGAUAUGAAAGAAAAGGUGGUCAAUAGUUUCACAAUUCAGAACCAUUUUAACUUAUUGCUGCUAGCAUUUCUGUUAACCAGAGAAUUCUGUUAACCAGAGAAGAUAGUUAUACUGAAGUGCUAAGGAGCAACAGAUACACAUGUAUCCUCUGUGGAUCUUUGCUAACUUGUCUUCUCUGGUGUCAUUUCUGUGCUGGGGGAUAGGGCUGUGAAAGUUGCUGCUAGGCAUGAACAGCUCUAGUCAGGUUAGUCUUCAUAUAUACUAGUGUAAAUGAUUCUUGAAUUAGGUCUUUCAUGUCAAAGACCAGGUUAGCUGAGAAAGGAAGGAAUAAUGACACAACCCACAGCUUGUUGUAAUGAGUUUUUCCUGACAGAUUCUGUCUUCAUACACCCCUAAUAUUAUUUCAGUCUACAAAUGCUACAUAUUGUUACCUUCAUACCAUAGCAAAUGUGGAAAAUGCCUUACCAACAUGAGAAAAAACACAGAACUUGUGAAGAAGGCCGACUGUAUAAGAGGCAAAACAGAGGACAAACUAAAAACUCCACAAAAAGGAAGGAAUGCAUCAGGAAGUCAUUCCUAAGGCAAGAGGGAAAUAAAAGAAGAUGGAAAGGAAAGAUUGAUCCAGCUACAAUACAAAAAGAAAGGAUAAAUAAUGAUAUAUAUAUAAAAAAGAUGGAGCCAUCACACUAUCUCUUAAUAACUUUUUGACUGGGAAUAUCUGAUCUGUAAAGAAAAAACAAUAUCUGCUCAGAUAUGGGGUUGGUUAGCAUGUUUAGUGCUAAAUGACCCACAUGCAUAGUCAGUGAUGUUACUGUCCAGUUGAAUAAGAAAUUAUCUGCUGGCCUUCAGCCUCACCAGAUAAUUAGGUCUCUUCCAGUGUACACUAUUCCCAUUUCUUAAUGAGUUGCUGUGGGUGUUGUAGAUACAGACCCUGGCAAGGUAGUGGCAGCCCCUUGUGUGGGGUGGAAACCAUAGCUGCACAUCUUUGGUAUUGGGAUUGCUAGGAAUCUGGCUUUGAGGAAACUUGGACUGGUCCCAUCUCUGCGGAGUUACAUCCUUCCUGGUGUUACGUGAAAGAUGAGGAUGAGCUCUGAAGCUCACAGAAUUAAAUAGAAUUUUGUUCCUUAUGGACAGAAUUUAAAGGCAAAGUCAUCUAUAUGCCAUACCUGGAUACUAGGUGAGUAAACACUUUUGCUGAUCAUUAUGAAAGGAGCUGAACCAGUGAAGAAUCUGAGUUGCUGAAAAUUUGUUUAUCAUCCAUUGGGUUGGUGGUACUAGGCAAUGGGUGAAAGAAAGCUUGUUUGUCUUAUCUACAUUAUAUAGCCUCCUUUGCUGCCAGUAAUAAUCCCAUGGAGCUUGGUUUGAAGGAUAUUGUUAAUGGCACCCAGACAGAGAUGACUGCACUCGGUAUUUCUGAUGUUUCUAUUUCCUCACUAACAGUCUUCUAAUCAAACAGCUGUGUAGAGAAGAAGGGAAGAGAGAUCACAUUUCAUUAACAUUGGCUUUGACAGACUUGGAGCUAGAGCCAGAGCUAAAAUGGUACAUGUCACCGAUCUAAGAGAAGUCAAGAGAUGGGUGACGUUAGUUGUCUUACUGAUAACAAAAUGCUUGAACAAGAGGUAUUACUACUUGCUGAAUUACACAAGAAAGGAUACAGGACACAUUCUUGCUCCCAGUCCCUGUUUAGUAAACAAACCUGUUUUCAUC